AAAUAAGUAAGCUAAAAAAGCUAUUGGGUUCAUACCCCUUUUAUAAAGGUUAAUUCCUUUCUUAUUUA
rnacentral:tRNA from 1 species